GAUGAACGCUGGCGGCGUGCCUAACACAUGCAAGUCGAGCGGACACACGAGAAGUUUUCUCCUCUGACGUUAGCGGCUGACGGGUGAGUAACACGUGGAUAACCUACUUAUAAGUCUGGGAGAAUUACGGGAAGACGGAGAUGCUACUAGAUCAUAUAUUGUACGGCAUGGUGCAAUAGAGAUUCGCAGCUUGCGCGUCUCAUUUAGCCGGUGUCGGAUUAGCUAGUUGGCGGGGUAAAGGCCCACCAAGGCGACGAUACGUAGCUGGUCUGAGAGGAUGAUCGGCCACACUGGAACUGAGACACGGUCCAGACUCCUACGGGAGGCAGCAGUAGGGAAUAUUGGGCAAUGGGCGCAAGCCUGACGCAGCCAUGCCGCGUGAGUGAAGAAGGUCUUCGGAUUGUAAAGCCCUGUUGUUGGGGAAGAAAAGCAGUGGGAGAAUCCACCGCCGUUCUGACGGUACCCAAAGAAUAAGCACCGGCUAACUUCGUG
rnacentral:rRNA from 1 species